CCUCACGAUCCGGCCUUCCGAUCCCAUCUCCGCCUCCAUCGCGCCAUCACCUCCUGCUGCCCCCCAUCGCCGCGCGCCGCCGGCCCCUGCCCCCAUCGCCGCGCGCCCCCGCCUGUCUAACUCCACCGAUAAAUCGGUUCGGGAGAGAGGAGGGGAGGGUCAGAUCCCAUGGAGGCGGAGGAGCACCAAAUGUCUGAAUCUUCCUUGCCUGCGGCGCACCCAUGAGAUCCAAUUGCUGACAGUGGGCCGGAGCAAGUUCAGGGGAAGCGCUUCCUGUACUGGUCGGCUGACAUCCCGUGUGGGGCGGCGACGGCAUGAGCAAGCCAUCGGGCAAGGAAGGACGUCCAGCCUCAGCCUUCAUGUUGGUUAUUGUAGCCUAUAAGCAAGUAAUGCCACCAUGGUUCAGGCAUCUCUUAGUUACAACAACAACAACAACUACAACAAAGCCUUUAGUCCCAAACAAGUUGGGGUAGGCUAGAGGUGAAACCCAUAAGAUCUCGCAACCAAUUCAUGGCUCUGGCACAUGGAUAGCCACUUUGGGUUUCAUCUCCAUAAGAGUGGCUGAGUUUUUACGUUGGCUCGCCAAGCCUAUCACAACCCUCCCCCUUUUCCCGGGCUUGGGACCGGCUAUGGUUACUGGAAAAAAAUCGGACAACCGCAGGAGAAGAGGAGCUGCAGAUUCAGAGUGUAUGUGAUAUCCCUGCCAGAUGAGUCCUACCAGAUUGCUACAGCAUUCAUGCAGGUGUUGAGGCAGGGAAAAGGCGACAGGAGAAGUAUUGGCGCAUCAGAAAAGGGUGUCGGCUGUUCUGAUUGAGGCCAGGCAUGAAAUCUCUUAUUUCAUUGUUUGUUUUGUUGAAGCUGUACUUAUUUUGCAUAAUAUUUCAGGCAAUGUUUAGACACAUGCCCCUAGAUUACAUAGUAUGCAUGCCCUCUGUUACCUGCUGAAUGUCUCUGCUAUGUUACCUGCUGAAUGUCUCUGCUGAAUGUCUCUGGGGUUUCUAAAAAUGUUCACAAUAAUCUAAAUUUCAGAAAUUCUUCGUGGAUUAUGAUUGGCAGUUAUAUGCCACCAGAUAGCAAGACUGCUACUUGAACAGUCUGUUAUCCAUGAAGCUUAGGCGUGUUACACGAACUAAAUUUGCUAUCAUUUUCCACCAUUUUCUAAGGCCAUCAGAGCCAUAGACACACUUUCGCUACCCUAAGGAAGUACUUUUUCCUUUUUUUUAGUCAAUGACCCACCAGUCAUCACAAGUGCAAAUGGUUAGUUUAUUAAAAUUCAUUAAUAGUACAUAUUUACUGCUGUUUAUUUGCAUAUGUGAUAUCUCAAUUUCACUUCUCAACAUGAUAUUUGCAGCUUACUCAUUGCUCAACCGACCUGAUUUUGUUGUAAUUUUUUAUUCGCUUUGUUCAGAUUUAUUUGGUGUCCAAUGCUAUAUUAUGUUCAUCUCUGAACAAUAAUUUGAUUGUGGUUAGUGCGUCCUGCACGAUUGGUUUGAAAAGUACCUCAAUGCAGCCUUCUGAGUCAUAUGUAUGGUGCAUUUAGUUCCUUUUCCAUUUAUUAUACACUUUGUACUAUUUUGACAUACCCCUUAAGAUGAUUGAAACAACCCCCUUAAGAAUAUUGAAACAACAUUGUUAUGCAUGAUUAUUGAUAACUCGGCUGAUUAGGUAGUAAAUGGUAACUAUACCAUGUACGAUGCAUUUUCCCCUUCAAAUGUAGCAUAUUUUUUUAUGGAUUUUUGGAUGCGAAACCAUCUGCACACUAGCAUGCAUCCAUCCCGUCAAAGAAAAGGAUAACAUGAUAUCAGUAGUUCAGCAAGAUGGGAAGAUAUCAGUAGUUCAGCACACCAUGGCAGCACGUGCGUGGCCAGCAAAUGUAUGCUCACUACUAGCACCAUAGUGAAUUCCAGCGACCUACGGCUAGGAAGUGCAUGAGCUGAUGCUAGCAUGCCCUGACACAACAUGAAAAAACUGGCUCUCUGAUGUAACUACCGCCUAAGAGAUUGUUUCAAUACAAUUACCCCAUUUUAGAAAAUAAUUACCAGGUUCUCUGAUGUAGUUGAAAUGUUCUCUGAUGUAUUUUAGAAAAUAAUUACAACUAACUCGGCGACAAGGGCUCUGGAUCAUCAGCUUCGGCAAGUGGAGGUAGAAGUUCGGGCACGAUGAGCUUUUUCUUUUGUAAAGACGUGACUUUGAUGUUUGAAUCUUCCUUCUGACCCUGUUAAUAAUAACGAGGCUCUCUUGAUAGAAUGUGAAUUUGUCCCUUUGUUUUGUUAGCUUUUGCGCUAUAUUGUGUUCUUCGUCAAACACAAAUCGCUACCGACAGGGAGUGGUGUGGACCCGUGGACUUGCACGACACAGCCUUGAGCACUAUUCCAACAUGCUCUGGUCCUGGGACUCUAUCUGUCUGUACAACAUCAACGACGGCGUGAUGGUUGCCUCCGGGCCAUGGCAGGCAUUCUUCCUGAAGCAGGAGGACAUGCAUAUCCUGAUUCAAUGGCGACGUGUAGAGGUGCUGGCCUGUCACAUGAGCAGCCCCAUGGUGACUGUCUUCAUGGGACUUUCUUUCUACCAAGAGCACCGGCUGCCUGAAGAGACAAAAAUAUGGAGGGGCGGUGAACAGAUGAUGUUGGAGUACUACAUGUGGUGAGUUAUAGCAGCACAAACAUGGUAGCCACGUCUAGCUCCGUCUCGGUGCUUCCUCUACUCAUUAAUUUUGCUUUGUGCAUGAUAUCUCCCAUGUUCUUUGAAUUAUAUAUAUGCUUCUUCAUAAUUCAUAAUGCUUCGAUUAUUUCUACUAUGACGAGUAUUUGAUAUGACAAAUGCAGAAAGUUCUUCUCAAACCUUAACUAAUUAUUUAUAAAGUCAGUGUGAUUAAAAAACAAAUGAUCAAGAAAUCACACACAUAUUGGACAGAAUUUGUAAGCUAGAUUUUAUGAAGUUAUACUGUUGUUUUGCUCUUUAUGCACUUAGCAAAUUUCAUGAGCGCAAUUAGCAGGUCCGAAUACAUGUCCAAUAUAAUGGGUUGUUCACCAGGAUCAUGUUAAGUUUUUAACCCGUUGCAACGCACGGGCAUUUGUGCUAAUAAUAAUAAUAAUAAUAAUAAUAAUAAUAAUAAUAAUAAUAAUAAUCUUUCCCUAAUAAUAAAGCACAGAUUGACUCCGUGGGUUCACCGUCACAAUACGCUUCUUUCCGUGAAUUUACGCUUUCAGUUUUUUUUCACCUGUAUCCGAGGUGGUACUAUUUUACCUGCGUACACUACAUAUGUAUACAUUGGGGAGUACACGUAGGCAGUUUUGCACCAAAGUCCUUGUGCUUUUUGAUAAUUGAACCUGCAGUCCCUUUGUAAGUGGAUAUAGAAGAACGCUUCAUUUUAACGGAAAAAAUCCUACUUUGUAAGAAAUUCAGCCCGCAAUCCUCUGUUUCAUCUUAUCCAGACUUACCCUUUCCAGCGACGGCGGAGCACGAGGGGCGGCGCUCUCGUCGCCACCCACCGCCUCCCCUUCCUUCUAAGACCCACCUCGCCGCCGGCCCUCCCCCUCCUCUCUCCCACCUCGCAGCUCCGGAGGCUGCCGGAUCCGUGGCAUCCCCUACCCACCUAUCCCUCUCAUGUCCCAUCUCUCACUCUUCACGUGGCUCCUCGCGGUGCCACCUACGGCGGCUGAUUCAGGCGACAACCGGCGAAUCCCGCCACCGCGAAGCACAGCCUGAGCUCCCCUCGCACCGCGGCGCCCUCCCAUCCGGCUAUAUCCAGCACUCAAGGCCACCAAAGCCCACCCGCGACCCUCCCCCCAUGGCUAGGGUUUCGGGCAUCUUCUCCUCACCUAUGGCCUUGUCGUCCUCCUCUCGUCCGACGUGCAGGGAGGAACGACCAGUGGACACCUUGCUGCUGCUCGGGGACGAAGCGGCCAUGGAGAUUCCUCCUCCUUCUCCUCUGGCUUCAGAAACGAGCUAGAUUCAUCUGGGAUGUGACAACGAAGUGCUGAGCAAAGAAGUGGCUUGGUGGGGAUGGCAUGCUUAAUUUUCUCUACUUUAAAUUAUCAUGCGCCUUCUUUCCUUUUAUUUAUUAGUUCUCUCCCUGAAGCUAGAAAGACACCAUGACAUGCAAAUUUGAUCCUGUCAACCUCAAGAAUUAUCUUUUCCUUCUAAAUGUCCCAGCAGAAGAUAAGAUUUGGCUUCACUGAUGUAAAUAAUUCUAAGAGUUUCAGAUGACUAAAAAACUGGUUUGGUUCAGUUUGCUAACCAGCAGGAGAACAGAGGAGAAGUGGUACUGUCACUCACAUUGCUGGCAAGGUCGUCAGCGAGGCGGUGCCGCGUGGGAGAGGAAGUCACAGACUCACAGGGGGUCGCUAGAUUUCACAGCGAAGAUCAGGGGAGAGAGGAGCUACCGCGCAUCCGUGCAGAAUCUGACAGAAGGCCACGCUUUUGUGCUGGGUCUGGGUCUGGGUGCCACGGUUGAGGCUGUGUGGAGGAGCAUGUGGCGGACAAAGCACGGGCAGAUGGAGUUGAGGUGUAAUAUUUUAAAUGUUAAUGUCCAGCAACUAGGUGUGCAAGCGGACGGCGUCCGCAUGUCCACGAAGUAAGAAUUUCACUAACACGAUUCUUAAAGCAGCAUGCCCACACCUGUCCAUGAAGCAAAUAUUUACGCUAAUCGUGGACGGUGUUAGUUUCUUUUUUCGUGGACGGUCGUGGAUAUGCGAACGCCGACAUGGUCCACGUGCAUCCAUACUAGCAACCUUAUUACGAGUACAUUAGUAAUUAUACUAUAUUCUUAAUAUAUAUGCGAGGGAAA